UACGUAGGGUGCGAGCGUUGUCCGGAAUUAUUGGGCGUAAAGGGCUCGUAGGCGGUUUGUCGCGUCGGGAGUGAAAACCCAGGGCUUAACUCUGGGCUGGCUUUCGAUACGGGCAGACUAGAGGUAUGCAGGGGAGAACGGAAUUCCGUGGUGUAGCGGUGAAAUGCGCAGGAUAUCAGGAGGAACACCGGUGGCGAAGGCGAGUCCCUGGACAACUCCUGACACUGAGGCACGAAAGCUAGGGGAGCAAACA
rnacentral:rRNA from 1 species